rnacentral:rRNA from 1 species
CACACAGUAAACGAUGAAUACUAGCUGUUUGCGAUAUAUUGUAAGCGGCCGAGCGAAAGCAUUAAGUAUUCCACCUGGGGAGUACGUCGGCAACGAUGAAACUCAAAGGAAUUGACGGGG